UACGUAGGGGCCGAGCGUUGUCCGGAGUUAUUGGGCGUAAAGCGCGCGCAGGCGGCUUCGCGCGUCCGACGUGAAAGCCCCCGGCUUAACCGGGGAGGGUCGUUGGGUACGGCGGAGCUUGAGGGCGGGAGAGGGUGGUGGAAUUCCCGGUGUAGUGGUGAAAUGCGUAGAGAUCGGGAGGAACACCUGUGGCGAAGGCGGCCACCUGGGCCGACCCCUGACGCUGAGGCGGCGAAGGCGUGGGGAGCGAACGGG
rnacentral:rRNA from 1 species